AUGCCUCAAUUAAUGAGGAUCGAUCACAUUGAUUGGCUAAGAGGACCCUACAGGACCUCAAAAGUGGACUUGCAAUACAGAGAAAAGGAAGGAAGGAAGGAAGGAAGGAAGGAAGGAAGGAAGGAAGGAAGGAAGGAAGGAAUGAAAGAAGGAAGGAAGGAAGGAAGGAAGGAAGGAAGGAAGGAAGGAAGGAAGGAAGGAACGAAGGAACGAAAGAAGGAAGGAAGGAAGGAAGGAAGGAAGGAAGGAAGGAAGGAAGGAAGGAAGGAAGGAAGGAAAGAAGGAAGGAACGAAGGAAGGAAGGAACGAAGGAAGGAACGAAGGAAUGAAAGAAGGAAGGAAGGAACGAAGGAAGGAACGAAGGAAGGAAGGAAGAGCCGGGAUAGACUGAUCCCAGAAUUUCUGUGGCAAAAGGAAAACAAGGUGGGCUUCGCUUGGAAUAUUUCUGGUCCUUUCCAACUCAACAGUCCAUUAUCGUACACCAAGAAGGAACAUUGUUUUGUAAUCACAGAAAUUGGAAGUUGGACAUUUGAGCUUUAUAUAAAUAUUCAAAAACAUUUAACCUACUGAUGCCUCAAUUGAUGUAAGUUUAUUGGUAUCUAUUUUUAUUUCUAAAAUUUCCCACCCUCGGCUUAUACUGGAGUCAAUGUUUUCCCAGGUUUUUUUGUGGUAAAAUUAGGUGCCUCGGCUUAUAUUCAGGUUGGCUUAUACUCGAGUAUAUACGGUAUGUUGAAUUGGUCGAGACUCAGUGAGAUAUCCAUUGAAAAACGAGACCAAAAUGUACUGGAGGAUAUCUCAAAACAAAGUUUUUGUAGUCUAAUAAAAUCUUUGCAAUUUUUUAUGAUAGAGUCAAUUAGAAAAUGAGAUUUAUAACCUUGGAACAAAAAUCGUAGUGUUAAAUAUAAUUGAAAGGCCCUUGAACCCCACCAAUGAUAGAAUUGAACCAAACUUGGCACACAGAACUCCCAUGACCAACAGGAAGUACUGGAAGAGUUUGGUGGCCAAAGUCUAUUUUCCCCAAACCCCACCAGUGUCCAAAUUUGGGCAUAUGGAGUAUUCGUGCCAAAUUUGGUCCAGUGAAUGAAAAUACAUUCUGUAUAUCAGAUAUUUACAUUACAAUUCAUAACAGUAGCAACGAAGUUGUUAUAAAGUAGCAAUGAAAAUAAUUUUAUGGUUGGGGCUCACCACAACAUGAGGAACAUGUUGAAGUGGGAAUGAUUGUAUAUAGAGUUGUUUAAAUGUAAUUGAUUUAUAGUGAUGCAAUGUGAGCUGGAGAUUGCAUCAUGCACUGUCUGCUGUCCACUAUGCGAGUGUGUAAAGAGUUAACUGUGUAUUGCAUCAGACAGCAGAGGUGGUUAUAAAUAGCUCCCUGUGUUAUCUGUUCUGUCCUCUGCCCUCUGCUCUCUGCCUCUCUGCACUCUGUAUGUAUAUAUCGUCUUGAGAGUUUUCCGUUUGUUAGUAAAUCUUUUGUAGAAAGCCAGACAGGCUUCAGCCUCUUUAUUGGUGCCAGUGAUUCUUUGUUGAUCUUCCGCUGCAUGUGUGUUUAUCCAAACUGCGCGCACUGAUAGAACAUACAUGCACAUACAUGCACACUUGGAACAUGCACACAUCCUGCUUGCCUCUUUAUUGGUUUCAGGGAUUUGUGGGCAAUGAAGCUGCUCCAAGCCCAAUUAGCGUUCUAAUUAACAAAGACCGUGCCGAGUGCCAAAUGGGUGUUUGGUACACAAGAUCGAUGGGCCGCCAUCCUCGUUGCAAAAGAAUUAACAUUCAUUUCAUAUAAAAUUUUAAUAUAUUUUUCCCCAGCAUAACGGAUGGUUAAUUCAUUAUGAAUUAAGGAU
ensembl:lncRNA